GAUUGGAUUGCACGUCUAAGCAGUAAGGCUGAGUAUUAGGCAAAUCCGGUACUCGUUAAGGCUGAGCUGUGAUGGGGAGAAGACAUUGUGUCUUCGAGUCGUUGAUUUCACACUGCCGAGAAAAGCCUCUAGAUAGAAAAUAGGUGCCCGUACCGCAAACCGACACAGGUAGUCAAGAUGAGAAUUCUAAGGUGAGCGAGCGAACUCUCGUUAAGGAACUCGGCAAAAUGACCCCGUAACUUCGGGAGAAGGGGUGCUCUUUAGGGUUAACGCCCAGAAGAGCCGCAGUGAAUAGGCCCAAGCGACUGUUUAUCAAAAACACAGGUCUCUGCUAAACCGUAAGGUGAUGUAUAGGGGCUGACGCCUGCCCGGUGCUGGAAGGUUAAGAGGAGUGGUUAGCUUCUGCGAAGCUACGAAUCGAAGCCCCAGUAAACGGCGGCCGUAACUAUAACGGUCCUAAGGUAGCGAAAUUCCUUGUCGGGUAAGUUCCGACCCGCACGAAAGGCGUAACGAUUUGGGCACUGUCUCAACGAGAGACUCGGUGAAAUCAUAGUACCUGUGAAGAUGCAGGUUACCCGCGACAGGACGGAAAGACCCCGUGGAGCUUUACUGUAGCCUGAUAUUGAAAUUCGGCACAGCUUGUACAGGAUAGGUAGGAGCCUUUGAAACGUGAGCGCUAGCUUACGUGGAGGCGCUGGUGGGAUACUACCCUAGCUG
rnacentral:rRNA from 1 species